UACAAGCAAGGGCCACUUGGGUGGGACAGCUCCUCAGGUGGUGGCAUCUUGUUUAGUCAGGGCUGAUAUCUGAGCCCCAGUGCCCACGAAAAGUGUCAGCACUCUGCUUUUGGGUCUGGCAGCUACCAUCAAUAGACGUCUCCAUUUCCAUUACCUGUGAGCUGUCCAACAUAAACCAGCACAGCUGCUGCUCCCCUGCACACCUCACAGGAGCAGAGCUUUCAGGACAUUUUGCCCAGCCAUUGUAGUACCAUCUCUUCUAACUUGUCCAGGGGAAACCAUCCAUUACAUUUUAGAGAUUCCCUUUUUCCAGCCUUGUGACCAAACUGCCUCUCGUGAGUGGGCAUUCCUACCCAACCUGAUUGGCACGGGGAAGGAUCCUGUAGGAAAUCCUCAGAGUACAUCAGGUGGUCCAGAUUAGAAAGAAAUGUGAGCAGCAAUUUAGAGGCUGAUAUUUCCCUACUGAGCCGUCACGUUUUGCAUAGCAGUGAAACAGCAAGGGGUACCACACAACCUGUUUGUCUGAUGCUCCCUUUUUUGGGGACAAUGGGCUUCACUGGACCAUAAAGCAGAAGAGACAUGCAAAGGCCCCUGCAGCAUGCAGAGCUCUUCAGCCCUGUGUCUGACGAGGCACUUUUGGGUGAAGUGAGCCCUGGGGAGCUGAUGCUGUGGAACCAGACACUCUGCCUGAGAUGUGCCAGCAAAGCAAAGGUGGGGCUCAGGAAACAACAGUCUCUUCACCAAAGGUGUGUCCUUAGCGACAAGGACCACAGUCAACAUAGCAAAAACUUCAGCAAUUACAGCCCACUGUAGUUCCAAGCCCCUGUCAUGGCCAGGGACACCUUCCUCUAGACCAGCUUGCUAAAAAACAGCCUGACUUUGAACUCUUCCAGGGAUGGGGCACCCACAACCUCUCUGGGCAACCUCUUCAGUGCCUCACUACCCUACAGUAAAGAAUUUCUU